rnacentral:misc_RNA from 1 species
UCCGGUUUGACACCGGCAGUCUCCCAUGAGUCCCCACCAUCACGUGCUGGCAACAUAGAACGAGGGUUGCGCUCGUUGCGGGACUUAACCCAACAUCUCACGACACGAGCUGACGACAACCAUGCACCGCCUGUAAACCGACCGCAAGCGGGGCACCUGUCUCCAGGCGUUACCGGUUCAUGUCAAGCCUUGGUAAGGUUCUUCGCGUUGCGUCGAAUUAAACCACAUGCUCCGCUGCUUGUGCGGGCCCCCGUCAAUUCCUUUGAGUUUUAAUCUUGCGACCGUACUCCCCAGGCGGAAUGCUCAAUCCGUUAGGUGUGUCACCGAAUAACAUGCUACCCGACGACUGGCAUUCAUCGUUUACGGCGUGGACUAC